CGCGCCGUCGUCCGCCCCUGCCCCAGCGCGCCGUCGACCGGCCCCUGCCCCAGCGCGCCGCCGUCCGCCCCUGCCGCAGCGCGCUGUCGACCGGCCCUGCCCCAGCGCGCCGCCGUCCGGUCCCUGCCCCAGCGCGCCGCCGUCCGCCCUUGGCCCAGCGCGCCGCCGACCGGUCCCUUCCCGGCGCGCCGUCGACCGACCCUGCCCCAGCGCGCCGCCGUCCGGUCCCUGCCCCAGCGCGCCGCCGUCCGCCCUUGGCCCAGCGCGCCGCCGACCGGUCCCUUCCAGCGCGCCGUCGACCGGCCCUGCCCCAGGGCGCCGCCGUCCGGUCCCUGCCCCAGCGCGCCGCCGUCCGCCCUUGGCCCAGCGCGCCGCCGACCGGUCCCUUCCCAGCGCGCCGUCGACCGGCCCUGCCCCAGCGCGAUGCCAUCCGCCCUUGGCCCAGCGCGCCGCCACCACACCCCCUCCCCUAGUGUGCCGCCGCCACGACCUCCCUCCCCAGCGCACGCUGUCCGUCCUUCUUCCCCACCGCGUGCAGGCAGUUCAACGUGCGACCAUGGGCCGUUCAAUGUCUCCGCCGUGGACAGGCCCUAUACCUCCUUCUGGUUGCCUGUCAUCCCGGUGUGGCCAGGGCGUUGGGUUCGCCGCCAGUGUGACCACCAGUCCAACCCGGCCGCCCUAGGCCGUUCACUCAUCGCAGCUUCCAGGGACAAAGAAGUGAGCAAAAGGAGAAAUUGAUCAAUUGCUCAUUAUGCAGCGGUGGUUUUCCUAUGCACAUGUUGACACAACGUAUCAUCAAAAUGGGUGGCGGAGAACCAGUAAGUGCUACUACUGGUGUACGCCAAGUUCAAGGAUUUUCCCAUGCUCGAGCAUACACUGGCUCUGACCUCCACCCGUUGCCGCAUGCCUGGGAUCCGCAACCUCCGACCUCACAUGUGGACCUCGGCUGGCUUCUCUACCCCGAGUGUCGCCGCCGGUCUCCCUGCAGCAUGGCUUCGGUUCCCUGCUCCGGAUGCGUCUGCGCCAACCAUCUCUACGAGGCACUCGACACCCUGCAACAUGACCUCUCCAAGGCCAUGCCUUAUGCUUCAGCAGCAAAAAGUGGAGCCUGCUGGAGGAGUCACGGGGUCAAGGACCUCCAGCUCAACAGUCCAACUGGUUCCUUUAUGGCUGGUCGCUCAAGGAGCUGAGUGCAAGCCGCUCCUUGCAGCAAGCUGCUACUGCACCUAGGACUGCCCGGCACAGCCGCAUCCUUUCUGUUGUUGCUGAUGCAUGCCCCUAAACAGCUACCAAUUGCUGCUAUUGUUGCCUCUAUUUUCUAUCUGAAGUUCAGUUCUAGUGCGGUGACUAGCGAAGCUAGAGAGGUACUGAAUGUUGAUUCGACCAUAACCCUUACGCACACCUUUAAUGUUGCUAGUGGUGGUGUUUAUGUUGUUACUUCGAUCGAGAAGGAAGUAGGAAGGAGAAGGAGAAGGAGCAGACUAGCAACCUUGACGUGGAGGAGAACGAGGAGGCCAAGCAUGCCGCCCAAGGUGCCCCUCAACGAACUGCUCAAGCUCGACAAAGGUUGCAGCAAAAACAAGUUGCCAAAGUCAAAGUCCCUAAAAAGCCUAUUCUUUGCAUCUUCAGUACUCACUCAGGUCCUUGUUGCGAUGAGAGCAGUAGCGGAGCUACAGCCCCAAACCUGGGCGGGCUAGUACAAAGAAAGCCAACUAUUUUUAUCAGCUUGGUCUAAUUUACCCAUCAACCUCCAUUAAACUUGCUACAACAUGGGCGGGCCAUAGCCUAUUUCGCCAAGAGGUAGCUCCGCUAGUGGAUGAGAGGGAUGACUAGAAUGCUCAAAGAAAUAUAUUUACUUGACCCAUAGGUGGUAUAGUUUUAUUGAUCUCCUUUGUAAUACUGUGUGGACUAGAAAAUGGAUUAUUUUAAUAUCUUGCGAUUUCUAGUCAAGUUUUUGUGCCCAAGCUGAGCUUAUUUUGUCCCUGUACAGUAAUAAUUAGUGUGUUAAUUGUGCAUUCCAGAGUUUUGAUAGAAAUGGUACUUCAUUUGGUUUGUGAUAAUUAAACUUACGCAUCACCGUAUGUCUAUGUUGAUGCUUGUAAUUUAUCUACUUUGUGUUCCCGGGAUUUCUUUUAUAGGUCUCUAUUACAGAGUGCCGAGAGGGAUGAUAUUAAA